ACAGAUUUUCUGACCCAAAGUGGAAUAUUGGCUGAUGAAUCCAUCAAUAAAGAAGAAGACAAGGGGAGUAUUGAAGAGAAUUUGUUGGGGUCCAAAGAUGACGGGACUGUGCGGUGUUCACUUAAGUUUGAAGUAAUUGAUGACACUGUUGAGCAAAGAUUGAGGGGUUUUGAUGGGAAAUCAGCAAAAAAUAGGAAGAAAAAGAAUGCAAUACAUCAAGUGGAAAAAGAGAAUGGAGAAAAAACGGUAUCAAGAAAAGCCAAACAUAGUAAUAUGGAAGAAGCCAAAGAAAGAAGAUUGAAGUAAUUGAUGAUACAUCAAUGCUUGAUAUAUCUCAAGAUGGAAAACGUUGCACUGUUGAUAAAGGAUUGAGGGGUUUUGAUGAGAAAGCAGCAAUAAAGAAUGCAAGAAAAGCAAAACUUAGUAAUAUGGAAG
rnacentral:lncRNA from 1 species